AUGCCGACGCACGUAGACCACCUGAGCGCUCUCCCCGACGAGGCACUGCAUCGGAUCCUCUCCCACCUCCCUUCCGACGAGGCCACGCGCACCACCUCGCUGUCCCGCUGGUGGCGCCGCGUCUGCGACGGCGUGCCGGUCGUGGACCUCGUCGACCGCAAAACAGAUCGUCAGGGGCCGGGAAUCAGCCUCCCCAUGUGCUUCGACAGCAAGGUGACGGGCGCCAUCUUCUCCAAGGGCCCCACCACGCCGAUCCGUGUCCUCCGGCUGCACGCGCGCCAGCCGCCGGACGACCUGCUCGACGGCUGGAUCGCCACCGCCGCCUCCUCCGGCGCCGAGGAGAUCGACCUCGCGCUGCAGUACCGGCACUACUCCCGCCGCAGGCUCUGCCCCUUCGACUGGUUCGGGAAGGCCGACUUCGGGGAACAGGGGCAGCUACACCACGACGCCGCGCCAGCUCUUCCGGUGCGCACGCUGCGCCGCCUGCGCCUGGCCAACUGGACGCUCGACCUGCCCCCCUGGGGCGUCGUCGUCGCCGCGUCGCUCGAGACGCUCUGCCUGAAGCGGAUCAUGGCGCCGGCCGCGGUGCUGCAGCAGCUGGUCUCGAGCUGCCCGCACCUCGCCGACCUGACGCUCGAGGAGUGCCCGACCGCCACCACGAUCACCGUGUCCAGCGACCGCCUCCGGAGCUUCGCCAUGGUCUGCUGCCACAACGCCCGGCGGGUCGUGCUGCGGACACAGUGCCUGCGGUCCCUACGCUACAAGGGCGGCCUCCCUUCGGACACCAUCCUUGACAUCCCCAACUAUGGCGAAGUGGCGGCGCUGACCAUCGAUAUCUGUGAGGACCUCACAAGCAAAGCACCAAUGGAGGUUGCUCCAGUCUCGGAGCUCAUCAGCCGGUGCAAGAAGCUGACGUACCUUCACCUCAAGCUGCGCCCCUCAAUGGCCUACUACAGCAGCGAGAUCACAGCCAUAGCCCGCGACCACUUACCCCAGCUCCGGCACCUGGUCCUCAAGGGGUUCUUGGCCGCCGAUCACGUCGUCCGGUCCGUCGCCGUCCUCGUCGCCAGCACCCUACACCUGGAAGCGCUGUCCUUGUUUCCUCUGGGCUCCGAGACAUUGAAGAAGACAUACUACUCUGACGAUGAGUACUAA
rnacentral:rRNA from 1 species